GUGAAUCAUCAAAUUUUUGAACGCAAAUUGCACUCUCUUCGGAGAGUAUGACUGUUUGAGUGUCAGCCUAUAAAAAAUAGACAUCGUUGCUGUUUCUCGGUGGCGUUCGUCGGCAAUUGGGUUAUCUUGAAUCAUUUUGAUUUAAGUGACUUAAAAUUUUCUUUUGGUUUCAUGAAUGUUUAUAUUACUUAUUUAUUUAUACGUUUUCGGUAUCGUUAUUUACUAGAGGU
rnacentral:misc_RNA from 1 species